rnacentral:rRNA from 1 species
CAGCCGCCACGGUAAUACAGAGGGUGCGAGCGUUAAUCGGAUUUACUGGGCGUAAAGCGUGCGUAGGCGGCUAAUUGAGUCGGAUGUGAAAUCCCCGAGCUUAACUUGGGAAUUGCAUUCGAUACUGGUUAGCUAGAGUGUGGGAGAGGAUGGUAGAAUUCCAGGUGUAGCGGUGAAAUGCGUAGAGAUCUGGAGGAAUACCGAUGGCUAAGGCAGCCAUCUGGCCUAACACUGACGCUGAGGUACGAAAGCAUGGGGAGCAAACAGGAUUAGAGACCCCUGUAGUCCCUGUCUCUUAUAC